AACGAACGCUGGCGGCAGGCCUAACACAUGCAAGUCGAACGCUCGUAGCAAUACGAGAGUGGCAGACGGGUGAGUAACACGUGGGAACCUUCCCUAUGGUUCGGAAUAGCUCAGGGAAACUUGGGGUAAUACCGGAUAAGCCCUUCGGGGAAGAUUAUCGCCAUUGGAUGGGCCCGCGUCGGAUUAGCUAGUUGGUGGGGUAACGGCCUACCAAGGCGACGAUCCGUAGCUGGUCUGAGAGGAUGAUCAGCCACACUGGGACUGAGACACGGCCCAGACUCCUACGGGAGGCAGCAGUGGGGAAUAUUGGACAAUGGGCGCAAGCCUGAUCCAGCCAUGCCGCGUGAGUGACGAAGGUCUUC
rnacentral:rRNA from 1 species